rnacentral:rRNA from 1 species
GCCUACGGGGGGCAGCAGUGAGGAAUAUUGGUCAAUGGUCGGGAGACUGAACCAGCCAAGCCGCGUGAGGGAUGAAGGUACAGAGUAUCGUAAACCUCUUUUGUCAGGGAACAAAGGCGGGGACGUGUCCCCGGAUGAGUAUACCUGAAGAAAAAGCAUCGGCUAACUCCGUGCCAGCAGCCGCGGUAAUACGGAGGAUGCGAGCGUUAUCCGGAUUUAUUGGGUUUAAAGGGUGCGCAGGCGGUCUGUUAAGUCAGCGGUCAAAGCCCGGGGCUCAACCCCGGCCCGCCGUUGAAACUGGCAGG